GGCCCGUUCGUCUAGUGACUAGGACACGUGGUUCUCAUCCACGUAACAGGAGUUUGAUUCUCCUACGGGCUACCA
rnacentral:tRNA from 1 species